rnacentral:rRNA from 1 species
UACGUAGGGUGCGAGCGUUAAUCGGAAUUACUGGGCGUAAAGCGUGCGCAGGCGGUUCGUUGUGUCCGAUGUGAAAGCCCCGAGCUUAACUUGGGAAUGGCAUUGGAAACUGGCGAGCUGGAGUGUGGCAGAGGGGGGGUGGAAUUCCACGUGUACGCAGUGAAAUGCGCAGAUAAUCGGGAAGAACACCCGUGGCGAAGGCGGCUCUCUGGGACGGUACUGGACGCUGAGACGCGAAAGCGUGGGAGCGACG